UAAGCCGUUGAAGGUGUGUCGUGAGGCAUGCUGGAGGUAUCAGAAGUGCGAAUGCUGACAUAAGUAACGAUAAAGCGGGUGAAAAGCCCGCUCGCCGGAAGACCAAGGGUUCCUGUCCAACGUUAAUCGGGGCAGGGUGAGUCGACCCCUAAGGCGAGGCCGAAAGGCGUAGUCGAUGGGAAACGGGUUAAUAUUCCCGUACUUGGUGUUACUGCGAAGGGGGGACGGAGAAGGCUAUGUUGGCCGGGCGACGGUUGUCCCGGUUUAAGCGUGUAGGUGUGUGUUCCAGGUAAAUCCGGUUCACUUUAACACUGAGGCGUGACGACGAGGCACUACGGUGCUGAAGCAACAAAUGCCCUGCUUCCAGGAAAAGCCUCUAAGCCUCAGGUAACAUCAAAUCGUACCCCAAACCGACACAGGUGGUCAGGUAGAGAAUACCAAGGCGCUUGAGAGAACUCGGGUGAAGGAACUAGGCAAAAUGGUGCCGUAA
rnacentral:rRNA from 1 species